rnacentral:tmRNA from 1 species
GGGGGUGCACCGGUUUCGACUUGGAAACAAAGUACCGAUGGCAUGCAGAGGAUUCGGUUGGCCUCUUAAAAAAGCCGAAACGACAUAACUGUCAAAACAAAGAAAAAAGCACAGCGCUCUGACAUCCGCAGCCAUGUAUUUUAUACAGCUGCAUCUAGCAAGUCAGUAGCCGCUGCAGCCGCUGCUUAAGACCUAACCCGUCAUUUAGUAGCCGACCCACUGAGAUUGGACCAGGGAUCUUGGGAAGGUCGUCAGAGAUCUUGGUAUGAGCGUCGCCGCUUGGCUUCCAGAGGUGGCGUUUCGAGAUUAAAGGAAGUGUACAAGCCCCUAGUGGGGUUUCUUGCAGCAAGGCUUGUACGAUAAACAAGGAACUAAGCAUGUAGGCAUUGUUAUAGAGUUUGCUAAGGACGAGAGUUCGAUUCUCUCC